rnacentral:rRNA from 1 species
UACGUAGGGGGCAAGCGUUGUCCGGAAUCAUUGGGCGUAAAGAGCGCGUAGGCGGCCCUGUAAGUCCGCUGUGAAAGUCAAGGGCUCAACCCUGGAAGGCCGGUGGAAACUGUCGGGCUAGAGUCCGGAAGAGGCGAGUGGAAUUCCCGGUGUAGCGGUGAAAUGCGCAGAUAUCGGGAGGAACACCAAUGGCGAAGGCAGCUCGCUGGGACGGUACUGACGCUGAGACGCGAAAGCGUGGGGAGCGAACAGG